AACGAACGCUGGCGGCAUGCCUAACACAUGCAAGUCGAACGAGUACCUUCGGGUGCUAGUGGCGCACGGGUGAGUAACGCGUGGGAACCUGCCUUUUGGUACGGGAUAACGUCGGGAAACUGACGCUAAUACCGUAUAUGUCUUUGGAUGAAAGAUUUAUCGCCAAAAGAGGGGCCCGCGUCUGAUUAGGUAGUUGGUGAGGUAAUGGCUCACCAAGCCUUCGAUCAGUAGCUGGUCUGAGAGGAUGAUCAGCCACACUGGGACUGAGACACGGCCCAGACCCCUACGGGAGGCAGCAGUGGGGAAUAUUGGACAAUGGGCGCAAGCCUGAUCCAGCAAUGCCGCGUGAGUGAUGAAGGCCUUCGGGUUGUAAAGCUCUUUUACCUGCGACGAUGAUGACGGUAGCAGGAGAAUAAGCCCCGGCUAACUUCGUGCCAGCCGCCGCAGUAA
rnacentral:rRNA from 1 species